rnacentral:rRNA from 1 species
CCCUAUUAUUAGGAUUAAAAGGCUUUUAGAGAGUAGGUUUAAAAUCUGAAAACGAUCCAGAAUGGCGGUUUUUUUUAUUUUCAGAGAAAUGUGUUUUUAAAACGAAAUUGCACGAAAAUCUUUCUUAGUUUUGAAUCCCAUCCUGUACACCGCCGUCUGAAGGGUCAAUUAGAAAAAUUAACCCUAAUUUUUGGAAAAAAAAAUAAGUCAGGUUAGGUGCAGACUAUGGCUAAGAAGAAAUGCAUUGCACUAAAUGUGACCAACCCAAUAAUUGAAAACUAUUGUGAAGGGGAAUUUGAAAGUAGGAAAUUUUUACCAUGAAAUUCCGAACUAAUACCAAAAAAAUGUACACAUCGCCCGUCGCUC